UGUCCUUAUUUGCCAGCACGUAAUGGUGGGAACUCUAAGGAGACUGCCGGUGACAAACCGGAGGAAGGUGGGGUCGUCGUCAAGUCAUCAUGGCCCUUAUGACCAGGGCUACACACGUGCUACAAUGGGACGUACAGAGGGUUGCUAAGCCGCGAGGUGGAGUCAAUCCCAGAAAACGUUUCGUAGUCCGGAUCGAAGUCUGCAACUCGACUUCGUGAAGUCGGAAUCGCUAGUAAUCGCGAAUCAGCAUGUCGCGGUGAAUACGUUC
rnacentral:rRNA from 1 species